rnacentral:RNase_MRP_RNA from 2 species
GUGCUGUCCGAAGAAUCGCUAUCGCAGCUUGCAUACAGGAAAGUCUCGCACUUCCAUAUUCUGCUGUGGGGAAAGUCCCCGGAGAUACAGAGCACGCCCUCGACCAUUCCACGGAAAGCGACCGCCUUCAAGCACGACGGUACUGGUCGGGGGUGGGGAGAAUGUUAUGCUCGGAGUGCGAUCUAUGAUUCACUUCGGGCUCCAUCUCAUCCACUCUGUGGCUCAUCUCUGAUGAUCUUCCUUCGAUCAAGGCGCGGGUUUGCGAAGAUACGAGCAAGCCUGUUGCUCGGAGGUUUGGUCUGAAGGUUGGCCCUUCGUUGCUCAUAGACAUAGUUAUGCGAUUGUUGGUUUCUCUGCUGAACCAUCAACUCAAUGGGGCUCACUCUCGGACAGCA